rnacentral:lncRNA from 1 species
AAUGAACUUAAAAGUUUGUUUUUGCCUUUUAGCAAUUCACUAUGCUGUUGAAUAUUAAUCCUCUCAAAAAAAUGUUUGAAGAAAUUUUCUUUUUAUUUAUGAAAUCUGAAAUGAGAAAAAUUUAACCCCCCCCUUUUUCACAUCCCCGUUUCCUUUUUUCCAAAACUGAUAUCAAUUCAAAUUUCUAAUGGAGUUUGCAACAAUAACUACUCUUUUAAAUACAUCAUAAAAUAUUAAAAUGUAAAAUAAAGUGCUUGUUAUCACUGAAUGGUAAAGAUUGGUUGGUAGUAAAAGUGAAUAUACAUUGUUUAUUGUAUAAAAC